CAAUGAGCAAAGCUGUAAGACAAUAACAGCAGGUUAGCUAUCAACACAUGUGUGUGUUAGCGCAAGCGAAAUUAUUAUCACCUCCGAGUGGUGGAGACGAAAUCAGUAAAUGACGGUGCUUUGACCAUUAAAAACGGAAAAGAAUGCUUAGGGAUAACAGAUAAAGCAGAAUAAUCAAGAACAUGAUUAACAGCAGAAGCAAGGGUACACAUAGUUGGGGUCCAGUUAUACGUGCAGUGCAAGGAGCACCACCAGCUGGGGCAGUUGAUGCUCGAUGCAAAGAAGUAGCGGAUUGUGAAGGUG